ACGGAAGGUGCGAGCGUUAAUCGGAAUUACUGGGCGUAAAGCGCACGUAGGCGGAUUGUUAAGUGAGGGGUGAAAUCCCAGGGCUCAACCCUGGGACUGCCUUUCAUACUGGCAAUCUUGAGUCCGGAAGAGGUGAGUGGAACUCCUAGUGUAGAGGUGGAAUUCGUAGAUAUUAGGAAGAACACCAGUGGCGAAGGCGGCUCACUGGUCCGGUACUGACGCUGAGGUGCGAAAGCGUGGGGAACAAACAGGA
rnacentral:rRNA from 1 species